UGCAGGAGGAGGUGAUACCCACCAGAAGGUCAAUGAAUUUCGUUUCCUUCCACCUGAAGGCUGCAGAGGAUUGCAGCUGUCCACAGCAAGAAACUCAUCAUUCACUCUCUGAUCAGCACAUACAGUUGUUUGUUGCAGACCAUUGCAUUAGCCAGACAGGGCCAUAUGAGGGAUGCUGCAUGAGGUCCUGUUGCAUUUAACCUGCUAGAAGAUGGAGAGUGUUUUGAAUUAUCUGUAUGUUUCAUUUGUUGCCUGUCUUUGGUCAGCUGAAACAAUAAAGCAGUUCACUGUGUAGCUUUCGUACCA
rnacentral:lncRNA from 1 species